GGGACGCCUGGCCGGCCGGGCGUACGGUGGCCUUCCUGCUGGGCGGGCUGGGCUCGAUCGCGGCGGUCACGGUCACCGGCGUCGAG
rnacentral:tRNA from 1 species